rnacentral:rRNA from 1 species
UACAGAGGUCUCAAGCGUUGUUCGGACUCAUUGGGCGUAAAGGGUGCGUAGGUGGCGUGGUAAGUCGGGUGUGAAAUUUCGGAGCUUAACUCCGAAACUGCAUUCGAUACUGCCGUGCUUGAGGACUGGAGAGGAGACUGGAAUUUACGGUGUAGCAGUGAAAUGCGUAGAGAUCGUAAGGAACACCGAUGGCGAAGGCAGCCUCCUGGGCCAGCACUGACGCUCAUGCACGAAAGCGUGGGGAGCAAACAGG